UACGAAGGGGGCUAGCGUUGUUCGGAAUCACUGGGCGUAAAGCGCACGUAGGCGGGUUCUUAAGUCGGGGGUGAAAUCCUGGAGCUCAACUCCAGAACUGCCUUCGAUACUGGGAAUCUUGAGUCCGGGAGAGGUGAGUGGAACUGCGAGUGUAGAGGUGAAAUUCGUAGAUAUUCGCAAGAACACCAGUGGCGAAGGCGGCUCACUGGCCCGGUACUGACGCUGAGGCACGAAAGCGUGGGGAGCAAACAGG
rnacentral:rRNA from 1 species